GGACGAACGCUGGCGGCGUGCUUACCACAUGCAAGUCGAACGGAAAGGCCCUGCUUUUGUGGGGUGCUCGAGUGGCGAACGGGUGAGUAACACGUGAGUAACCUGCCCUUGACUUUGGGAUAACUUCAGGAAACUGGGGCUAAUACCGGAUAGGAGCUCCUGCUGCAUGGUGGGGGUUGGAAAGUUUCGGCGGUUGGGGAUGGACUCGCGGCUUAUCAGCUUGUUGGUGGGGUAGUGGCUUACCAAGGCUUUGACGGGUAGCCGGCCUGAGAGGGUGACCGGCCACAUUGGGACUGAGAUACGGCCCAGACUCCUACGGGAGGCAGCAGUGGGGAAUAUUGCACAAUGGGCGGAAGCCUGAUGCAGCACCGCCGCGUGCGGGAUGACGGCCUUCGGGUUGUAAACCGCUUUCGCCUGUGACGAAGCGUGAGUGACGGUAAUGGGUAAAGAAGCACCGGCUAACUACGUG
rnacentral:rRNA from 1 species